rnacentral:rRNA from 1 species
AUUGAACGCUGGCGGCAUGCUUACACAUGCAAGUCGAACGGCAGCACGGACUUCGGUCUGGUGGCGAGUGGCGAACGGGUGAGUAAUAUAUCGGAACAUACCCAGUAGUGGGGGAUAACUAUCCGAAAGGAUAGCUAAUACCGCAUACGAUCUGUGGAUGAAAGCAGGGGAUCUUCGGACCUUGUGCUAUUGGAAUGGCCGAUAUCUGAUUAGCUAGUUGGUAGGGUAAAAGCCUACCAAGGCGACGAUCAGUAGCUGGUCUGAGAGGACGACCAGCCACACUGGAACUGAGACACGGUCCAGACUCCUACGGGAGGCAGCAGUGGGGAAUUUUGGACAAUGGGGGCAACCCUGAUCCAGCAAUGCCGCGUGAGUGAAGAAGGCCCUCGGGUUGUAAAGCUCUUUUGUCAGGGAAGAAACGGAGUUCUCUAAUAUAGGAUUCUAAUGACGGUACCUGAAGAAUAAGCACCGGCUAACUACGUGCCAGCAGCCGCGGUAAUACGUAGGGUGCAAGCGUUAAUCGGAAUUACUGGGCGUAAAGCGUGCGCAGGCGGUUUUGUAAGUCUGAUGUGAAAUCCCCGGGCUCAACCUGGGAACUGCAUUGGAGACUGCA